UAUGGUGAAUAUUGUUGAUGGUCUGAUUGAUUCAAUAUACAAGUAAAGUGAGAGGAAGAGAUGGAAACAUCAUCUUGUCAAUGGAUCAAGAGUGAGACAAUAAGUGAGUCAGUGAGUAAGUGAUUGAGAGAGGAUAAAGUAGGUCACCAGUUUUUUUCUCAUCACUCAAAUGCAAUAAAAAAAUAAAAUGGAUUCUCUCUUUUUUUCUUGGUAAAUGGUUGCUUCUUUCAACCUCCUAUUCGUUGUUGAUAACCAAAAUGCUUGUUUGCCUCAUCAUCCUCUUACUCGUCAUCAUCUUUCUCUUUCUCUUCUUCUAACCUUUACAGGUUAACUAUUCGUGAUAAAUUCGGCCGAUUCCUAUGAUUAUAAUGAUGGUGGAUUUAAUAAAAGAGAAACACUUCCGUUGUUAUAACCGUGAGAAGAGUUGAUAAGAUGCAAUAUGGCGUUCGUUUUACCCGCUUGUUGUCUAAGAUAAGGAUAACGGGAAAUCUGUUGGGAUGAUAAAGAUGGUAAGGAGGAAGAGAUCAAGGACGAGAAGAGUUAUUCAGAAGAAAGUGAAAAGAAGCGGGAAGAAGAAGAUGAAGAUGAGAAGAAGAAAACAGAAAGAGAACCUUUUUUUACACGCAUUUCCAAGGUAAGGCUUUUCCCUAGUUGCCCAUUACGGGUCAAAAGGGACUUGUUAGGCUAGGAAAGCGCAAAAAUAACUCUAAUUUCUUGGAAGUUGAAAUUAAAAGCACGAACCUGAGAAAAAGGCCAAUAAUAGAAACAAAAUUAAAACCAUGAAUAAUUAGCCGGUAAAUGCUAUUAAAAUGAUGAAAUGUUGUCCAUAAAAUCGUCUUUUCUCUUCAGAAAAUCUCUUCUUCUCAGGUAUUUUGACUCCACUGGAAAUACGAACAGAAAAACGGUAA